rnacentral:rRNA from 1 species
GACGAACGCUGGCGGCGUGCUUAACACAUGCAAGUCGAACGCUGAAGCUCGGCUUUUGUUGGGUGGAUGAGUGGCGAACGGGUGAGUAACACGUGAGUAACCUGCCUCCUUCUUUGGGAUAACGCCCGGAAACGGGUGCUAAUACUGGAUAUUCACUGGUCUUCGCAUGGGGGUUGGUGGAAAGGGUUUUUCUGGUGGGGGAUGGGCUCGCGGCCUAUCAGCUUGUUGGUGGGGUGAUGGCCUACCAAGGCUUUGACGGGUAGCCGGCCUGAGAGGGUGACCGGUCACAUUGGGACUGAGAUACGGCCCAGACUCCUACGGGAGGCAGCAGUGGGGAAUAUUGCACAAUGGGCGCAAGCCUGAUGCAGCGACGCCGCGUGAGGGAUGGAGGCCUUCGGGUUGUGAACCUCUUUCGCUCAUGGUCAAGCCGCAACAAUGGUUGUGGUGAGGGUAGUGGGUAAAGAAGCGCCGGCUAACUACGUG